AAGACGAGGAUAACAGUUGGAAACGACUGCUAAGACUGGAUAGGAGACAAGAAGGCAUCUUCUUGUUUUUAAAAGACCUAGCAAUAGGUAUGCUUAGGGAGGAGCUUGCGUCACAUUAGUUAGUUGGUGGGGUAAAGGCCUACCAAGACUAUGAUGUGUAGCCGGGCUGAGAGGUUGAACGGCCACAUUGGGACUGAGACACGGCCCAAACUCCUACGGGAGGCAGCAGUAGGGAAUUUUCGGCAAUGGAGGAAACUCUGACCGAGCAACGCCGCGUGAACGAUGAAGUAUUUCGGUACGUAAAGUUCUUUUAUUAGGGAAGAAUAAAUGAUGGAAAAAUCAUUCUGACGGUACCUAAUGAAUAAGCCCCGGCUAACUAUGUGCCAGCAGCCGCGGUAAUACAUAGGGGGCAAGCGUUAUCCGGAAUUAUUGGGCGUAAAGGGUGCGUAGGCGGUUAAAUAAGUUUAUGGUCUAAGUGCAAUGCUUAACAUUGUGAUGCUAUAAAAACUGUUUAGCUAGAGUAAGAUAGAGGCAAGUGGAAUUCCAUGUGUAGUGGUAAAAUGCGUAAAUAUAUGGAGGAACACCAGUAGCGAAGGCGGCUUGCUGGGUCUUUACUGACGCUGAGGCACGAAAGCGUGGGGAGCAAACAGGAUUAGAUACCCUGGUAGUCCACGCCGUAAACGAUGAGUACUAAAUGUUGGGUAAAACCAGUGUUGAAGUUAACACAUUAAGUACUCCGCCUGAGUAGUACGUACGCAAGUAUGAAACUUAAAGGAAUUGACGGGACUCCGCACAAGCGGUGGAUCAUGUUGUUUAAUUCGAAGGUACCCGAAAAACCUCACCAGGUCUUGACAUGCUUCUGCAAAGCUGUAGAAACACAGUGGAGGUUAUCAGUUGCACAGGUGGUGCAUGGUUGUCGUCAGCUCGUGUCGUGAGAUGUUGGGUUAAGUCCCGCAACGAGCGCAACCCUUAUUGUUAGUUGCCAGCACGUAAUGGUGGGGACUUUAGCAAGACUGCCAGUGAUAAAUUGGAGGAAGGUGGGGACGACGUCAAAUCAUCAUGCCCCUUAUGACCUGGGCUACAAACGUGAUACAAUGGCUGUUACAAAGGGUAGCUGAAACGCAAGUUUUUGGCGAAUCUCAAAAAAACAGUCUCAGUUCGGAUUGAAGUCUGCAACUCGACUUCAUGAAGUUGGAAUCGCUAGUAAUCGCGAAUCCAGCAUGUCGCGGUGAAUACGUUCUCGGGGUUUGUACACACCGCCCGUCAAACCACGAAAGUUGGCAAUACCCAAAGCCGGUGGCCUAACUUCGCAAGAAGAGGGAACCGUCUAAGGUAGGGUCGAUGAUUGGGGUUAAGUCGUAACAAGGUAUCC
rnacentral:rRNA from 3 species